rnacentral:lncRNA from 1 species
AUUAUAAACGAGUCACUCAGACUCUAUCCACCCGUGCUUACUGUGACAAGAGCAGUUAAAAAGGAAGUUAAAUUAGGAAGCCUCACUCUUCCUCCUAAUCUCAGCAUUUUCAUUUCCAUACUGGCUCUUCAUCACGAUCCUCAGAUAUGGGGCAAAGAUGUUCAUCUCUUCAAACCAGAAAGAUUUUCUGAAGGGGUGGCUAAAGCGACAAAUAACAAUGCUGCAGCAUUCAUUCCCUUCGGUAUGGGGCCUCGGACUUGUGUGGGACUGAACUUCACAACAAAUGAAUCAAAGAUUGCACUUUCAAUGAUCCUGAAGAGGUACAAGUUCUCACUGUCCCCAAACAAUGUUCACCACCCUGCUGAUAUAUUCAUCCUCACCCCGAAAAAUGGAGUUAAAGUGAUACUUCAAAAACUGUAACUCUUUGCAGAAGAAACUACUUAUGCAACUCUGAAGUUGUUUGUUUGAUCAAUAUGUAAAUAGGAUUAAGGUUACAUUGUAAGCAAUGACUGUGAAAUAAAUAAUAAUGUCAUUGUACAUUACUCCCUCCGUCCCUCUGAUUUCUAUACACUUUCCUUUUCGGGAUGUCCCAUUCAAUUCUAUACAUUUCAAAACUUUCCCAAAAUGGUAAAGUUUUAUAAUAUAAAAAUCUCACCCACCCACUACUUUCAUCUACUUUUUCAAAUCUAUCACUUAAAUAUUAAUGGGUCCCACCACUUUACCUACUUUCCUUUCUCUUUCUCAUUACUUUACAUUACUUUAUACACUUUUCUUAAUCUCUGUGUCCAAAAGAAACGUAUAGAUCCCAGAGGGACGGAAGGAGUAGAUAAGUUUCACCUUGAAAGAUUAUGGUAUCUAAUCAUUUUCAUUAUAGUAUUAACACUGUUUUGAUGUGAGAUCAUGGACCACAAUGUUUGGUAGUAUAAUUAUGGACCACUAAGUUUGAUGUAAGAUGAAAGCUGCUUUAUCAUGCACUAAUAUGUAUAACAAGUUUUGUAAGAUACAAUAAUUGUCAUUCAUAUGUGAUCUGACCGGGUGCGUGUUCUGAUUAGGGGUGUAAUUCGGGCCGAGCGAGCGGAGUUUUGAGCCGGGCAUAAUUCGAGCUGAAGUUAAUCGAGCCUAGCCGAGCCGGCUCGUUUAACUAAUCGAGCCUAAAUCCCUGCCAAAACUCGACUCGUUUAAUUUCACGAGUCGAGUCGAGCCGGCUCGUUUAGCUAAACGGGCCAGUUUCAGCGAGUCGGGCAAGUGGCUCGUUUAAUUUUACACUUAAUCGAGCCUAAAUCUCUACCUGAACUCGACUCGUUUAAUUUCACGAGUCGAGUCGAGCCGAGCCGGCUCGUUUAGUUAAACGAGCCGGAACCUUUGCCCGAGCUCGGUUCGUUUAACUAAACAAGCCGAGUCGAGCCUAGUUAAACGAAUUUGAGCCGGUAGAGCUCGCGAGCCGCCCGACUCGAAUGACUCGAAUUACAGCUCUAGUUCUGAUUUUCUAAUUAGCUGAUAGCUCCUUGUCUCCUGCUGGAGAUGUCUUUAUUGAUUAAAAAUUGAUGAAUAAAUUAGACUUCUAAAAUAUGUAAAAUUUAAUAAAAUAUUUCGUUUCGAUAGUAUCGGCUAUAAUAAAUGAUCACUCUCUCAUUUCCUGUAGAUUAUAACAUUACAUGAUGGAGACGCGACACACUCCUAUAAAAUAUAGUUUUGUAACUUAUUUUUAAUAUUUUUUCUUUUUUUGAAUAAAUAUUUAAUAUCUAAAUUUUUGUUCAUGAAUUUUUUUUAAAAAAAAUAAGUUAUAUAACUAUACUUUAUAAGAGUAUUAAAGUGUGUGUCGAACAAUAAAAAAAAGUAUAAAAAUAAAUGAGACGGGCGGAGUAUAUCUUAAAAAUAAUAUGUUAUUUAUUAUUUUAAACUAUCAUCAAUAGAAUAUUUUAUUUUGAUAAAGAAGUAGAUAACACAUUUCAGUACAUAUUCCUACAUGUUCAAUAGAUAUAAUCAAUAUCACAAUUGACUAUAAUUAUAGAUAACAGCUUUGUAUAAUUAAAAUGAUACAAAAUAAGCAUCUGUAAAUACGCAAAUGGGAAGUUCCCUUUCUUACAUGUAUAAUAUUUAAUUUUUCUGUUAUAUAGCAUAUAUAAUUAUUUAAUUUAAAUAACAAACAUAACAAUUUUAAGAUUAAUGGAAAUUAGGGUAUAACAGAACUCGUUUGAUAAACAUGAUUUAAAUUUCUUCCGAUAUCAACACUAUUCACUCCAACAAUUUACAUUCAUAGUCAUCGGUGUUCGAUCUUUUUUCAUUCUUGCAGUUGUGUAAUAUCAAAGAAAAUGCAAGUUAUGCAUGACAAAAGUUUGAAUAGUCAAAAUAUUGUGAAAUCAAUAAGAAAUGCCUAUUUCAUGAUUCUUUCAAAAUUUAAUAACACAAGUCAGUAUAUUGGUAGAUGUGAGUUUAUACACACGCUCUCUUUAUCCCAUUUUAACCGAUAUUUAAUUUUUAUAUUAUUCGUUAUCUUGCCUGUUUAAUUACUAAAUUUGAAAUUUUAUUAGAAAAUUAUAUAAAAAAUCCUUUAUUAUGAAAUUUAAACUUAACCAAAUCAAACAUAUGGUGUAUAAAUUCAAGACUUGAAAAUUCGUACUCGUGGAUGAACAUUUGGUGUUAAUAAUCUUGUUUUAAAAAUUUGAAGUAUAUUUAUCAUUUCAUAAUGUAAAGCUAGUAUCACUCGAACUCUUUUAACUUGAUCGAUUAAUUUUUUCAAGAAGAUAGAUUUCAAAUAAAUAAAAAUAGAUUUUUUUUGCUUUUUGAAAUUUAUGAUGCAGUUCAGUUAUACUAUAGAGUUGAAAUACAAAGAAUGUAAAAGGUAUAGAUUUUAAUUUAGUUAAAUUAGAUUAUAUUAAGGUAUAGAUACUAAUUUGUAAGGCGUGUAUAUAUGCCUGCAUCGUAAAAGAAAAAAAAAAACUCCUCAAUGUAGAGGUGCUUGACCCGGCUACCUUGGAUAUUUUUAAUUUUAAAAUGAAAAAUUAUAUGUUUGUGUAUAAGUUAUUCAGUGAUUUAAAAUUAAAAAGAAGUCAGAAUAUGAAUUUCAAAUCAUUAAAAUUUGGUAGGAUGUAUUUAUUUGAAUAACUUAUUUUUUCAAUCAUUUUUUUAACAAAAAUUAAUUCAUUACUCAAGUAACUAGUUUAUAAAUUUACUUUUGUUGUUAAAUUUUUAUCAAACCAUUAACCAUCCAUAAUACAGAAUUACUUGAACUUCUAAUUUAAACUAUACGCAUGAGUUGUUAUUUUAAACUCACUAGUACUGUUUGAGGUUGCUGUUGCUGACCGCAAUAGCAGUUUUUUGCUGAAAAGCAGGUGAAAAAUUGUUUGGUAAUUUUAUAAGCAGCUUUUCUGAACAGCAGCUUUUAGCUGAAAAGCUGCUUUUAGAAAAAGCAGGUCCUCCCAUGCUUUUGGAAAAAGCCGCUUUCAGCUUUUGCAGAAGCUGUUACAAAUUUCACUAUCAAAGCUCACCACAAAAAAUAUUUUUUUUUAUAUUGUAACUUCAAAUAAACAAAUAUCACAAAAAUUAUCAAACAGUUAUCUGAUUUCUACAACAACACUUUUUUUAUCAGCACUUUUCCUGACCGCACAACAAUUUUUAACAGCACUCCAAACAGAUGGACUACCAGUCACAUGCUUAUUGCUUAGUAAGUUUCCUAUACUUCAAAUACAGGCAUCUAAACGAUCCAUCUUUCAAACCGUCUCUAAUCAAUUUUCAAUGAAAUCAACACCAAAGAAACUGGACCAUCAAAACAAACUGUUGCACUACCAACUAAACCAUCUUCCUAUAUAAACCCCCAAACUCUACGCUUAAGCAUACAUAACUACAACAAAUACUCUUUGAAGAAAGUGAAAUGGCAGGUUCUAAAGGUUCGAAAUCUGGUGGUUCUCCCUCAGUGGGCUCCAAAACGGGUGGUUCUGCUGCUUCGAGCACGAAAAGUGGUGGUUCCCAGAAAGGUUCUGGCGGGUCCUCGGGAAGCAAGGUCCAGGGAUCAAGUAACGAUACUAUGAAGGCUCCUGGGCAGGAUGGGUUCAUCUCAAGGAGUGGUUUUGAGAGUGACCCUAAAGGCUAUUUCAAAGGUGUUCGUGAUUAAGUCUGAAUAAUUAAGCAAGUAAUCAAGUGUCGAUCUAUGCAAUAUAUAUAGCUAUUAUGAAGUGUAUGAUCUCCGGCAUUUGAUCUAUAUAUAUAAAUUAAAGCUUUAUAUUAAUAUUCCAAGUAUGUUCUUGAAUUUUAUUGCGCAUGAAUGCUGAAGACCAGUAAAAGUGUUAUUGGAAAACAGAACAAAUCUUCAUUAAGGUGUGACAAAAAUAGAAUUUUAAUGAGUGAUGAUCAUGUAGACAACGAGUUCGUUCAUAACAUUCAGAUGGUUACAGCUUUCUGAAACAAGCAUAUGUCGCAUGAUUAAGCAUUAAACUAAAUCGUUUCUAUUGCAGUAUGUUUAUUUACUACUAUAAAACAGCACAAAUCAAUUAUUAGAAUUAUUUUGUAAUGAGAUGAUUAAAUAUUAGAGGAAACUAAAAUACAUGUUGAGUUGCUAUAAUGUUGAUGUAAUAUUCUAUGAACCUCUGUUUGCUGCUGUUUUUUCUAUUAGGAUACAAAAUUAAAUGAGGAUUUAUUUUCUGUUAGAGUUACUUUAAAAUGUAUCUUGGAUGUAAAAUUUUCAUAUUUAAUAUAUCCUUAUUCAAAUUUUUCAUAUUUAAUAUAUCCUUAUUCAAAUUAAGUUAGGGUGUAAUUUAUAAUUUUUAAAGUUUUAGAAAUAAUUUGUUACAUGUCAUUGUGAUUUGCCGGCAUAUAUUUAAAUUAAAAAACACAAUUCUGUUAUUUAUUGUUACAUUUUUUAAACUCAAAUAAAAAAUUAAAAAAAAUAUUUUAGGAAAGAGAAGAUUCAUAAAUAAUUCAAGUCAUCAAAAUAAAUUUGGUAGGAUGUAUUUAUUUGAACAACUUAUUUUUUCAAUCAAUUUUUUAACAAAAACUAAUUCAUUACUCAAAUAACUAGUUUAUAAAUUUAUUUUUGUUGUUAAAAUACAGAAUUACUUGAACAUCUAAUUUAAACUAUACGCAUAAGUUGUUAUUUUAAACUCGCUAAAUGGACUACCAGUCACAUGCUUAUUAGUGAGUUUCCUAUACUUCAAAUACAGGCAUCUAAGCGAUCCAUCUUUCACACCGUCUCUAAUCAAUAUUCAUCGGAAAUCAACACCAAGAAGCUGGAACAUCAAAACAAACUUUUGCACUUCCAACUAAACAAUCUGUUUCAUAUGUCUCUUCCUAUAUAAGCCCCCAAACUCUCCGCUUAAGCACACAUAACUACAACAAGUAUAUACUCUGUGCAGAAAGUGAAAAUGGCAGGUUCUAAAGGCUCGAAAUCUGGUGGUUCUACCUCAAUGGGCUCCAAAACGGGUGGUUCUGCUGCUUCGAGCACGAAAAGUGGUGGUGGUUCGCAAAAAGGUUCUGGUGGGUCCUCAUUGAGAGUGACCGGAAAGGCUAUUUCAAAGGUCUUCGUGAUUAAGUCUGAAUAAUUAAGCAAGUAAUCUAAGUGUCGAUCUAUGCAAUAUAUAUAGUUAUUAUGAAGUGUAUGAUCUCCGGAAUUUGAUCUAUAUAUAAAAAUUAAAGCUUUAUAUUAAUUAUCAACUAUGUUCUUGAAUUUUAUUGUGCAUGCAUGCUGAAGACCCAGUAAAAGUUUUAUUGGAAAACAGAACAAAUCUUCAUUAAGGUGUGCUAAAAAUGGAUUUUUAAUGAGUCAUGAUCACCACCUGAUUAACGAGUUCAUAACAUUUAGAUUGUUACACUUACCUUGCAUGAUUAAGCAUUAAAUUAGAUGAUUUCUAGUUGCAUAGUUGCAUGCCGUAGUAGGUUUUUUACUAUGAAAAAACACGAAUUUAUCAUCCUAUUAGAAUAGGUUACAGAUUUAAAAUAUAAGAGGAAACAAAAAUACAUUUAAUAAAUUCCGCUUACUCUUGAUAUCAAGAUGUAUCACAUGUAAUAUGAGUUUAUACCAUUGCAGAAGUAAAUCAGUUGUUAGCAUGGUACAAAAAUUAAGAUUAAUAAAAUGUAUGCCUGUUAUAUUUAAUACAUUUCCUAAAUUAUCUUAGGACGGUUAAAUAAUUUGUGAGUAAUUAUAUUUAAUACUCUUUAAUCUUUAAUGAGUUGUCAUUAUAAUUUUCUGCACAUAUCUGAAAUAAAAAUCUUAACUCCAUUCAUAUAUAUAUAUAUUUUUUAAAUAAAAAUAUAAGUAAAAAAAUUAUUUUAAAAAUGAGAAUUUAAAAAAAAAAUCUAAAAAUUAAUCUUUCCACUUUAAAUAUCUGUAUUUUGAAUUUUUGAUAUGCAUUUUAAGUUAUUUUGGCUAUAUAAUUGAAAAAUAUUUUACAAAUUUUCUUUAUCAGAACAAAAGUAAUCGAGCAUACAUUAUUUAUAUAAAAAAUUUAAGAAAAACCUACGUGUUCUUAAGAAUAUUUAACUUAUACUACUUUAAUUAUAGACCAUGAAACUUAACGUCGUUUUUUUUUCCCCACGGAAAGUAAAGAUUUUAUUAAUGCAAUAAAUCUUUACAAAGCACAAAUUCAAAGUCAGGAUGGAUAUCUUCCACCUCCCAUCUACGAUCAGCUAUAGAACAGCUAUAUCUUGCUAAAUAGUGAGCUACUAUAUCUUGCUAAAUAGUGAGCUACUAUGUUCGCGGACCGUCUCACAAACCUUAACACAAUGUUUUGAGCACAUAAAUCUGAAAGAAGAGAUCUGCAGUCCUCGAUCACCUUUCCUAGAUAAGAUAAACUAGAGAAAGAGUGCGAAUGAGCUGCACAACCUGUAAGCAAUCAGUUUCCAACACUACAUUACUCAGACACUUUUGUUUCGUCCAACUGAGGGCUUCUUUAAUACCCAGAGCUUCUGCAAAUUUGGGAGUUACACAGCCUGGAGAACAUUUUGAGAUAGCUUCGAUUAGAGUACCACAAUGAUCACGAAUAAUAAAAGCUUAGCUGUAUCGUCUUGGAUCUUCGAAGAUAGCUGCAUCGAUAUUAAUCUUAACACUAUUUUCUGUUGGGAGAUUCCACUGUUCUUGACCGUCUUCAGAGGUCAUAAAACCUAAGAAAGAGUCAUAAUUUUUGUCUUGAACAGAUCGCCAUUGGUUAAGAAAGGAGAGUGCCGAAUUCAUUACCUCGAGGGGGUCGAUACUACGUUGCUUCCAUAUUGAAUCAUUCCUGUUCUUCCAUAUUAUCCAGCAUAGAGUUGCAUGGGUAUAUAUCUCUUCCAGAUGUUGGUGACCAAUUAAAGCAUGAAGCCAAUCUGCAAAUGAUAUGACUGAACCUUGAAGUGUGGAUAGAAAUGAACUUCCCACAAGCUUGUGACAGUAAUCUGCAAAUGUGCAUGAGACCAGGGCAUGCAUAACAGUUUCUGGUUCCUCAUUACAAAUGGGACACAGAGAAUUAACAUUCACAUUCCUAGCACGUAAAAGAUCUUUAGUUGGUAAGCACCCAGAAGCAGCACGCCACAUAAAUUUUUUUACCUUGGAUGGUAUUUUCAAUUGCCACAAUUUUCUCCAGAACCCAGAGUUGUCAGCAGAAUUAGGAUUGGCCUUGGACUUUUGAAUGCUGAUGUACGCGCUCUUGACAGAAUAAUGACCCAUCUUUUCAUGUCUCCAAUACCAGGUAUCUUUGACGUUCUCUUGAAGGGGGAUUGAAAGAAUAAGCUCUGCAUCCCGUGUUUCAAACACGUCCGUGAUCAAGUCCACGUCCCAUACUGAUUCCCCUGUAUGCAUUAAGGAGGCCACCUUUUUGUUAACAAUUGAAUCACUAACAGUAUGAAUAUAAGGGUCCUCUGUAAAAGGAAGCCAUGGAUUGUGCAAUAUAUCAAUGUUCUGGCCAUUGCCUACGCGACAAGAAAUGCCCUGAGCAAUCAGAUUCUGAGUUUCGAACAUGCUACGCCAGACAUAGCUUGGAUUUACACCAAGCUUAGCCGUUAGAAACGUUCCGUUAGAAUAAUAUCGGGCCUUGUAAACUUUGCUGACCAACUUAUCAGGAUGAGUCACCAAUCUCCAAGCCUGGCUUCCCAGUAAAGCAAUAUUGAAGUCUCGAAGACACCUGAAGCCCAUACCUCCUUCAAGCUUGGUCGAACAUAGUCUACUCCAACACAUCCAAUGGAUGUUUUUAUUUUUAGCAGGGUCUGUUCUCCACCAGAAUUUAGACAUGACCAUUUCUAAAUCCUUGCACACUUCAAGAGGGAGCAGAAAAACACUCAUUGAGUAACUAGGAAGGGUCUGAGCGACAGACUUAAUUAGAAUUUCUUUCCCUCCUUUCGAUAAAUUUUUCUUGUCCCAGCCUUGGAUUCUCUCUUGUAACCUCUCCUUUAUAAACCCAAAAACUUCUGAUUUUUUGCCAGAAAUCAUAUUUGGAAGGCCUAGAUAUAGACUAUUAGCUCCUGCUUCUUUGAUUUGCAGCUGGUGAUAAAUCUCUGACUUAAGAUGGGAACUGCAAUUACGGCUAUAGAAUACUGAAGAUUUGUCUGCAUUAAUCUGCUGCCCGGAAGCCUUCUCAAAUGCUUUCAACAUAUUCAGAACAUGUUUUGCACUUUCUACAUUUGCUUUACAAAAGAUAUAACAAUCAUCUGCGAAAAACAUGUGGGAGAUAGGAGGCGCAUUACGAGCAACUUUGAUGCCUUGAAUCAGACCUUUCUUCUCAUAUUCAGAAAUCAAAGAAGUGAAUCCUUCUAUACAGAUUAAAAAUAGAUAAGAGGACAAGGGAUCACCUUAUCUAAGGCCACGAGUGGGAACAAUUCGACCAAAAUUUCUUCCGGCAUGACUAACUUGAUAAUUGACUGAGCUCAUACAAGCCAUGAAUAAUCGGAUUGCCUUCUCUUCGAAACCCAGCUUGCGCAACACUGCUUCCAAAUAACUCCACUCAACACGGUCAUAGGCUUUACUCAUAUCAAUUUUAAGGCCAUCCAACCUUGCUUGACUUUAGUUUUGCGCUUCAUGAAAUGCAUUACUUCAUAUGCUACCAUGAUAUUAUCUGUGAUCAGACGACCAGGAAUAAAAGCGCUUUGAGUAUCAGAAAUAAUUGAAUCAAUGAAUGAUUUCAAUCGGUUAGCUAACACUUUCGAGAGCACUUUGUAUACAACGUUACAUAGCGAGAUCGGUCUUUAAUUAACACAAAAAUUGGAAAAGCAAAAAUUUAACUAUAUCAAUAUCUUUAAAUGUGUGUGAGAAAACACCAAAUGUCGAUUAUUUGAAUAAAAAGUAUACGUGUGAGUGCUUAAUCUUGGACAACUUGUGAAAAUCUGUCAUGAUUCUGAUGCAAACAAGAGGAUUACUGUGGCACAAAUGGUGGACGAGAUCAGGGCGUUGUAUGGUGCUGGUCAUCUAACAACGACAAAUUUACUUUCAUGGACCGUUUUUCUUCUAGCAGUGGACACAGAUUGGCAGGAUAAAGCUAGGAAGGAAGUGGUUGAACACUUUGGCCAGGAAAAUCCUUCAUCUGAUGGCAUUGCCAGGCUUAAAUCCGUAAGAAUUUUACAGACCUAAUCAACACAUACACGCACACACAAGUAAUAUGAUCUCUGGAUUUUAAUCAUCGUCAUGGUUCUGUUUUAAUUUUCUUGUAGAUGAACAUGAUUAUAAACGAGUCACUCAGACUCUAUCCACCCGUGCUUACUGUGACAAUAGCAGUUAAAAAGGAAGUAAAAUUAGGAAGCCUCACUCUUCCUCCAAAUCUCAGCAUUUUCAUUUCCAUACUCGCUCUUCAUCACGAUCCUCAGAUAUGGGGCAAAGAUGUUCAUCUCUUCAAACCAGAGAGAUUUUCUGAAAGGGUGGCUAAAGCGACAAACAACAAUGCUGCAGCAUUCAUUCCUUUCGGUAUGGGGCCUCGGACUUGUGUGGGACUGAACUUCACAACAAAUGAAUCAAAGAUUGCACUUUCAAUGAUCCUGCAGAGGUACAAGUUCUCACUGUCCCCAAACAAUGUUCAUCACCCGGCUGAUAUAUUUAUCCUCACCCCGAAAAAUGGAGUUAAAGUGAUACUUCAGAAACUGUAACUCUUUGCAGAAGAAACUACUUAUGCAACUCUGAAGUUGUUUGUAUGAUCAAUAUGUAAAUAGGAUUAAGGUUACAUUGUAAGCAAUGAAUGUGAAAUAAAUAAUAAUGUCAUUGUACAUUAGAUAAGUUAAAGAUUAUGGUAUCUAAUCAUUUUCAUUAUGGUAUUAAC